CACAGAGCACUGGUGGGGACAUCCUCUUUAGGAACCGAGACGAGCAUUUGGCAUUUAUGGGAGGUAAGCAUGGGCUUCCAGGCAGAUCCACUCCAGGUUGAGAGUGUAGAGCCUGGGCUUGACAUGCCCUGCCCCCACCACCUUCCUGGGAUCUUGUGUACUGAAAACGUGUACUGUGACCUUGGGCAAGUCCUGUUGCCUCCCUUGCAACAGCUUCAUCUAUAGUACGUUUGACUUGAUGACCUCUAGUCAUCUUAGACAGAGGUUUUCAUCUAAGCUCCAACUUUCCACUUCCAUUUUCCUCAUCUUUCCCCUUAGCCCCUCCACAUUCUCUCAAAAUCACCCCACUUCUAAACCCUUUCUUUUUCUUUCUUUUCUUUUCUUUUUUUUUUGAGACAGUUUUGCUCUGUCACCCAGGCCAGAGUGCAGUGGCGUGACCUUGGCUCAAUGCAACCUCUGCCUUCCAGAUUCAAGCGAUUCUCCCACCUCAGCCUCCCGAACAGCUGGGACCAUGCCCAACUAAAUCUUUUUGUAUUUUUUAGUAGAGACAGAGUUUUGCCAUUUUGGCCAGGCUGGUCCCGAACUCCUGACCUCAGGUGAUCGGCCUGCCUUGGCCUCCCAAAGUGCUGGGAUUAUAGGCAUGAGCCACCGUGCUCGGCCUAUUUUUCUUUUAAAUUUCAAAUUAUCUAUACUUAUUGAAAUAAAUCAAAAUAGCACCAGCCACCGUGCCUGGCCUUAAUUACCAGUUUUAAUUACCUGCCCCUAUAUUAGCUAUAUAUUCCUUUGGGGAUUGUUAACAGCUAAUUUUAAACCUCAGGCUAACUCUUCAAUGUAUUUCUGAAUGGCCUCUUCACUCUCUGCUCUAGUUAUAGAGAAUCUCUAAAACAUUAGAUACCAACAGAACUAGGUUUUUUUGGAGCAAGGGUCUCACUCUGUCACCCAGGCUGGAGUGCAGUGGCACGAUAUUGGCUCACUGCAACCUCUGCCUCCUGGGUUCAAGCGAUUCUCAUGCCUCAGCCUCCCGAGUAGCUAGGAUUACAGGCGCGUGCCACCAUGCCCGGCUCUGUUUUUGUAUUUUUAGUAGAGAUGUGGUUUCACCGUGUUGGCCAGGCUGGUCUCGAACUCCUGACCUCAAAUGAUUCACCCGCCUCGGCCUCCCAAAGGGCUGGGAUUACAGGUGUGAGCCACCACACCUGGCCCCAUCAUGUUUCUUUCCUGAGCCCCA
rnacentral:lncRNA from 1 species